rnacentral:rRNA from 1 species
AGAAUUUGCGAUCAAAGUGGUGGGAGCGGCAGACGGGUGAGUAAUACGUUGGAACCUGCCCCAAAGUCAGGGGAUAACCAGUAGAAAUAUUGGCUAAUACCGGAUAGUCACGAAAGUGUAAAGCUUUUGCGCUUUGGGAGGGGCCUGCGGUCUAUCAGCUUGUUGGUAAGGUAAUGGCUUACCAAGGCUAUGACGGAUAGCCGGUUUGAGAGAAUGAUCAGCCACAAUGGAACUGAGACACGGUCCAUACUCCUACGGGAGGCAGCAGUGAGGAAUCUUCCGCAAUGGGCGAAAGCCUGACGGAGCAACACCGCGUGAAGGAUGAAGGUCGUAAGAUUGUAAACUUCUUUUCUGAGGGAAGAAUUCUGACGGUACCUCAGGAAUAAGCAUCGGCUAACUACGUGCCAGCAGCCGCGGUAAGACGUAGGAUGCAAGCGUUAUCCGGAAUUAUUGGGCAUAAAGAGUUCGUAGGCGGUUUGUUAAGUUGGAUGUUAAAUCUUUGAGCUCAACUUAAAAAAAGUAUCCAAAACUGGCAAACUGGAGACUGGUAGAGGUAAGUGGAAUUCUGCAUGUAGGGGUAAUAUCCGUAGAUAUGCAGAGGAACACCAAAAGCGAAGGCAGCUUACUUGGACCAGUUCUGACGCUCAAGAACGAAAGCGUGGGUAGCGAACGGGAUUAGAUACCCCGGUAGUCCACGCCCUAAACGAUGAACACUAGGUAUUGGAGGUCUCGACCCCUUCAGUGCCGACGCAAAUGCAAUAAGUGUUCCGCCUGGGUAGUACGAGCGCAAGCUUAAAACUCAAAGGAAUAGACGGGGACCCACACAAGCGGUGGAGCAUCUGGUUUAAUUCGACAAUAAGCGAGGAACCUUACCAAGGCUUGACAUCCCGAGAAGAUCGCCGAAAGGUGAUUGUGCCGUUAGGAACUCGGUGACAGGUGCUGCAUGGUUGUCGUCAGCUCGUGCCUUGAGGUGUUCGGUUAAGUCCGUGAACGAGCGCAACCCUUGUCUCAAGUUGCAUAUUUCUUGAGAGACUGCCGGUUUCAAAUCGGAGGAAGGUAAGGAUGACGUCAAAUCAGCAUGGCCCUUAUGUCUUGGGCGACACAGGUGCUACAAUGGCCGGUACAAUGGGCAGCGAAGGAGCAAUCUGGAGCAAAUCCUCAAAACCGGUCCAAGUUCGAAUUGAAG